rnacentral:rRNA from 1 species
CCUGAACGCACCCGAUCUCAUCUGGUCUCGGGGAGCUAAGCAGG